rnacentral:rRNA from 1 species
AUUGAACGCUGGCGGCAGGCCUAACACAUGCAAGUCGAACGAGUGGCGGACGGGUGAGUAAUGUCUGGGAAACUGCCCGAUGGAGGGGGAUAACUACUGGAAACGGUAGCUAAUACCGCAUACCAUCGGAUGUGCCCAGAUGGGAUUAGCUAGUAGGUGGGGUAACGGCUCACCUAGGCGACGAUCCCUAGCUGGUCUGAGAGGAUGACCAGCCAAACUGGAACGGAGACACGGCCCAGACUCCUACGGGAGGCAGCAGGGGGGAAUUUGGGACAAGGGGCGAAACCCUGAUCCAGCCAUCCCGCGUGUAUGAUGAAGGCCGUCGGGUUGUAAAUUACUGUUGGCAGGGAAGCGUUCUCGGCAGAAGAAGCACCGGCUAACUACGUGCCAGCAGCCGCGGUAAUAC